rnacentral:rRNA from 1 species
UGGCGGACGGGUGAGUAACGCGUAGGAACGUGUCCAGAGGUGGGGGAUAACGUUGGGAAACUGACGCUAAUACCGCAUAUGAGCUGAGGCUCAAAGCAGCGAUGCGCCUUUGGAGUGGCCUGCGUAGGAUUAGCUUGUUGGUGGGGUAACGGCUUACCAAGGCUACGAUCCUUAGCUGGUCUGAGAGGACGAUCAGCCACAUUGGGACUGAGACACGGCCCAAACUCCUACGGGAGGCAGCAGUGGGGAAUAUUGGACAAUGGGCGCAAGCCUGAUCCAGCAAUGCCGCGUGUGUGAAGAAGGUCUUCGGAUUGUAAAGCACUUUCGACGGGGACGAUGAUGACGGUACCCGUAGAAGAAGCCCCGGCUAACUUCGUGCCAGCAGCCGCGGUAAUACGAAGGGGGCUAGCGUUGCUCGGAAUGACUGGGCGUAAAGGGUGCGUAGGCGGCAAUGCAAGUCAGUCGUGAAAUUCCCGGGCUUAACCUGGGGACUGCGUUUGAGAC